UAGGGAAUCUUCGGCAAUGGACGGAAGUCUGACCGAGCAACGCCGCGUGAGUGAAGAAGGUUUUCGGAUCGUAAAGCUCUGUUGUUAGAGAAGAACGUUGGUAGGAGCGGAAAAUCUACCAAGUGACGGUAACUAACCAGAAAGGGACGGCUAACUACGUGCCAGCAGCCGCGGUAAUACGUAGGUCCCGAGCGUUGUACGGAUUUAUUGGGCGUAAAGCGAGCGCAGGCGGUUCUUUAAGUCUGAAGUUAAAGGCAGUGGCUUAACCAUUGUACGCUUGGGAAACUGGAGGACUUGAGUGCAGAAGGGGAGAGUGGAAUUCCAUGUGGAGCGGUGAAAUGCGUAGAUAUAUGGAGGAACACCGGUGGCGAAAGCGGCUCUCUGGUCUGUAACUGACGCUGAGGCUCGAAAGCGUGGGGAGCAAACAGG
rnacentral:rRNA from 1 species